UUAAACGUGUGAACUCUAAUUUAUGGGCUGACGUCGUGUCUUUGAUGUUCUGUCAGAACCAGAGAAUCAGCCGGAACCAGCAGCAGAACCGGAACCACCCACUGAGAAACCCAGCGAGGCUGAAACUGAUCCAGAACCUGAAGCAGCAGAGAAGCAGGCCGAAGAGAAGCUCAAGGAGAAAGCCAAGAAGAAGAAACCAAAACUGCUGAAUAAGUUUGAUAAAACCAUCAAAGCAGAAAUUGAUGCAGCAGAGAAGCUUCGCAAGAAGGGGAAGCUGGAGGAGGCGCUGAAGGCGUUUGAGGCGCUGGUGCAGCUGUAUCCAGAGAGCCCCCGAGCUCGCUACGGGAAGGCC